GACGAACGCUGGCGGCGUGCUUCAUACAUGCAAGUCGAACGAGAAGCUGACUUCGGUCAGUGGAAAGUGGCGGACGGGUGAGUAAUAUGUAGGAAAUCUGCCUUUAGGAGGGGGACAACAGAGGGAAACUUCUGCUAAUACCCCAUAUGAGCGUAGCUGAAAUGCUAUUCUUGAAAACUCCGGUGCCUAAAGAUGAGCCUGCAUCUGAUUAGCUAGUUGGUAGUGUAAUGGACUACCAAGGCGACGAUCAGUAGCUGGUUUGAGAGGAUGAUCAGCCACAAUGGGACUGAGACACGGCCCAUACUCCUACGGGAGGCAGCAGUAGGGAAUUUUGCGCAAUGGGCGAAAGCCCGACGCAGCAACGCCGCGUGAACGAUUAAGCCCUUCGGGGUGUAAAGUUCUGUCAGUGGGGACGAAACUUGACGGUACCCACAGAGGAAGCACCGGCUAACUCCGUG
rnacentral:rRNA from 1 species